rnacentral:rRNA from 1 species
AAAAAAAAACCAGAAAAGAAAUGGGAAAAAAAACUUUGAGCGGUGGAUCACUCGGCUCGUGCGUCGAUGAAGAG